CAAGCGGAGGAACAUGUGGUUAAUUCGAUGAUACGCGAGGAACCUUACCUGGGCUUAAAUGUAGAGUGCAUUUUCUAGAGAUAGGAAUUCCCUUCGGGGCUUUCUACAAGGUGCUGCAUGGUUGUCGUCAGCUCGUGCCGUGAGGUGUCGGGUUAAGUCCCAUAACGAGCGCAACCCUUAUCGUUAGUUGCCAUCUGGUAAAGCAGGGGACUCUAGCGAAACUGCCACCGUAAGGUGAGAGGAAGGUGGGGAUGACGUCAAAUCAGCACGGCCCUUAUGUCCAGGGCUACACACGUGUUACAAUGGUCGGUACAGAGGGCAGCUACCUGGUGACAGGAUGCUAAUCUCGAAAACCGGCCUCAGUUCGGAUCGAAGUCUGCAACUCGACUUCGUGAAGCUGGAUUCGCUAGUAAUCGCGCAUCAGCCAUGGCGCGGUCGAAUACGUUCCCGGGCCUU
rnacentral:rRNA from 1 species